rnacentral:rRNA from 1 species
CCUACGGGGGGCAGCAGUGAGGAAUAUUGGUCAAUGGGCGGAACCCUGAUCCAGCGACGCCGCGUGAGUGAAGACGUAUUUAGGUAUGUUAAGCUCUAUUAGCUGGGAAGAAAAUGCCGGUACGUGUCUCAGUAGCCACGGCUAACUCAGUGCCAGCAGCCGCGGUAAUACGUCGGGGGCCAGCGUUAUUCGGAUUUACUGGGUGUAAAGGGGGCGUCGACGGCAGUGCAAGUCUGGGGGGAAAUCCCUUGGCUUAACCCUGGAACUGCUUUUGAAACUGUGCAGCUGGAGUGCAGGAGAGGUAAGCGGAAUUCCUGGUGUAGCGGUGAAAUGCUUAGAUAUUAGGAAGAACACCAAUUGCGAAGGCAGCUUACUGGACUGUAACUGACGUUGAGGCUCGAAAGCGUGGGGAGCAAACAGGAUUAGAUACCCGAGUAGUC